rnacentral:lncRNA from 1 species
GACGCUCACAGUGUUUUCCUUUCUCUCUGCAGACACACUCAGCGAUUCAGCUCUACAGUAUGCACUCUGGGAUCUCCCAUUUGCUAAGGAAGGAUCUUAGCUUUGAGAAAGUGGCAAGAGAUCCCCUCUUGAGGAGACUCCGCAGGAACACCAGAGAUGAUAGUGACACACAACAACUGAAGGCAGAGGUACAGGCUGAGGAGAAAGGUGUGUAUUCUGGGAGCACUCCUUUCUAAGGAAAGACCUUCAGUGUUGCAAAAUGUGGCACUUACUAGUCUGCUUUUGCUGGAGAGACACUUUGGUUUGAGCUUCCUGACAGAAAUGAGAUUUGGACAGUUUGGUAUAAAAAACACUGAGUCCAGUAAAGAACUGUGACCAUCCACUCGAGUCCGGGGAGGCAGGAUUGUCAUUUAGGUGGAAUAGUGUGCUGUGCAUCAGGGUGGGGAGGUACAGAGGACAGAGUCGUGUGGAGUGAUUGGGAGUGUCUUUGGGAGUUGUGUGGGCAUUUCCCCAGAAAGCAUGUUCCCCUGUGCAGAGCACAACCGAAGGAGCAAUUUUCCUAAAAAAAAAAUUGCAACACCACUGCACACUUCACAUAAAUUAACCCAUUCAUCCUCCACUACAGCUGUACCUGAAGGUAAAUUUUAUAUCCUCACUCCUCAGAUAGAGAUGGUACAGAUUUCCCAGGCUCUCAAUCUCCUAAAUGCAAGAGGCAAAUGUGAACUCAGGAAUGUGUGGAGAGUUGAUGGAAAGGGUGACUACUGUGCAUUCAGCAGCCAGCCCUGGCGUAACUCACCAUUAGUCCAGGGACUUCCGGCAUUCGUUUUUGCAUGUGGAAGGAUGAUAGCCUAAAGAGGUCCCAAACACUGUCUGUCAUUGUAGGGAGGUCUCAAAGGUUGCCUAACCCAGGGUAGCAGUAGGUACAUUUUACACUGGACUUUGAUGUGGCCAUUAAUGUGAAACACACAUAGCGAGCUCACGGGCUUUUGGCCGUAGUGGUGGGGUUAUUUCUCAGCUCAUGGUCAAAAGCAGGGAAUACUCAGGAACAUGCUCUAUUGUAUUUAAUAACAUGAUUAUCACAAGCCUUAGAAAUGCUCCAGUUGGCCAGGAACAGUGGCUCACGCCUGUAAUCCUAGUAGUUUGGGAGGCUGAGGCAAGUUCAGGAGUUGGAGAUGAGGCAAGGCAGAAAGGUGAAAACUCGUAUCUACUAAAAAUACAAAAAACUACCUCAGUGUGGUGGUCCAUCCAUGGUCCCAGCUACCUGGGAGGCCGAUUGGGGAGGAUCACUAGAUCCCAGGAGGCACAGGUUCCAGGGAGCAGAGAUCAUGCCCCUACACUCCAGCUUUGGUAACAGAGACCUGCUAUUGAAAGAAGGAAAGAAAUGCUUUAGUUACGUAGCAAACACAAUCAAUACACAGCGCCAAAUAUCAUCCCAAGGAACAACUUGGGUGUUGGCCUCCCACCCAUCUCCCCUGGUGGAACCUCCUGCACAGCUGGGUUGGAGAUGGUCAGUGCUGCCACCUGCUGCCCCCAUGACAUUCUCUACUAGUGUCAGAGCCAGUGUGAGUGUGAGCAGCAAGGGACUCCCGACACACAGACAUUGCAUUGAGAAGGUUGAGUGCAAGGACAGAUAGCACUUGCUAAGUAGGGGUUAUCUUUAAAUAGAGGAUAAUUGAGUAUUUUCAAAGCUUUGUUUUAUUGUCUUUAACACAGAAGUUUGGUGAAUAUGUAGAAUAUUGGGGCUGGAAUGAAAUCUCUCUGAACAAAUACUGUUUUUACCAAGUAUAAAAUAUUCUAGAAUGAGUGAUACACACAGAAGCACCACAGGUGGAUUCUAGGGAGGAAAUGAUGUUGGAAGGACUCAGGAAGGGAGGGGAAGUCUAGUAAAGAACUGUGAGCAUCCCAGUCUGGUCCCUGAGGCAGUGGUGUCAUUUAGAUGGAAGAAGGUGGUGUGCAUCAGGGUGGGAGGUAUGGAGGAGGGAGUCUGUGUAAAGGGAUCACAAAUGUCUUUGGGCGCGUGUGUGCAUUUCCCCAGAAAGCAUGUUCCUAUGUACAAAGCACAACACAAGGAUUACUGUUCUAAACACAAAAUUCAUCACCAUUGUACACGUCACGUCAAUCAGCCCUUUCAUCCUCCAUGGCAGCUGUAUCUGAAGGUAAGUUUCCUGUCUUCACUCCUCAGAUAGAGAUGGUGUGGAGAUGAAUUUCCCGAGCUCUUGGUCUCCUAAAUGGAAGAGACAAAUGUGAACUCAAGAAUGGGUGAAACAUGGAUGCGAUGGGCUACUACUGCGCGUUUAUGAGACAGCCCUAGCAUAACUCAUCAGCAUGCCAGGGAGUUCAGCACCUAUGUGUGCAUGUGGAAGUAUGACAGCCUGUAGAGAUUUUAAGCACUGUCAUUACAGGACGGUCUUAGUGGUCACCUAACACCGCGUAGGAAUAGCUACAUUUUACAGUGGAAUCUGGCGUGGUCAUUAAUGUGAGGCACACUUGCAGAGCUCAGGGGGUUUUGGCGGCAUGAUGGGUUCAUUCCUCAGCUCCUGGUGGAGAGCAGAGAAUAAUCAAGGACAUGUCCUGUUGUAUUUAAGAACAUAGUAACCACAAGCCUUAGAAAUGCUGCAGUUCACUAGCACACGCACCUAAGGCACAGCAGCAAACAGGAGCUCAAGGAACAACUUGGGCAUUAGCCUGGUGCCCAUCUCUCCUGCUGGAAUUCCUGCACAGCUGGGAUGGAGAGGGUCAGCGCCCCCACCUGCUGCUUCCAGGAUGGGCUCUCCCAGUGUCAGAGCCAGUGAGAGCCUGAGCAGUAGCAGACUCCCUGGACGCGUGUGUUGAAGAGGGAGACCGGAAGGACAGAUAGCACAUGUGACAUGUCAUGUUUAAAUGGUGUCAAGCCUGUGGCAGCAGAGCUUCCUGGGGAGUCCUCAGAGCAAGUCAUUGCCAUUGUCGAAGUGUCUUCUAGGCUUUAUUUUGGGGCCAUUACCUCGAGCACUGUUUCUUGUCUGGUUUCCUAAUGUCAGCAACUGAAGAAAAGACCUGUAUACACAGGACACAGCAUGGUCUGACGCUCACAGUGUUUUCCUUUCUCUCUGCAGAGGGAUUCAGCACUUUGGGCAAGUGGUUGCACAGAGGAUCCCGUGGAAGAAUUCAUAUAUGAAUCAGAUGAGAAUGCCCCAGGACCAUCGUAGGUCAGGCCACCUGCUUUUGUCAAAGAAAAAAGAUAACCCCUAUUUGAAUUAAAAUAUGAGAAUCUGACCAUAUGUAUCAUAGGUGACUUACACAGUGUCCUUGGUAAGGAGAAUUUAGAGUGAGAGUCUGUUCCCCACUGAGGUUUGAUUUAAGAUGGCAGAAGAAAAUGACAUCAUCAGCCACUCAGCAGCUUGAUUCUCUCCUUGGGGCAAAAUCACUUAAUUGCCAAGCAACAUGGACUUACAGGAAACAUCCUCCAAUAAAAACUUAGGUUUUUAGCAUGAUUCGGUAUGUCCUGUUCUUAUUUUGGGUGCUUUUGGGUGGUCUCAUCGUGACAGUCAAUGUCCUGGGUCUUCAGUGUCUAUAAAGUCCCCCUGCAGCCCUCCUGCCCGCUGUCUUGGCAUUGCCUCCAUUCCUGGUCCCCAGGCUGCAGCGUUGAAUCCUGUUGAGCAACCCCACAGGGUUUAGGAAGGGAGCCCGGCUGAGGUCAGAAGAGUUGGCGCCACCCUGCAGGAAGGGUUCCCAGUGACGUCUGGGUCUGCUGUGGCCGCCCCCCUCCGCCCCGGGGCUUUUGCUGCACUGGGGUCUCUGGACAUGCGCACUUGUUGUCUUCCUCCCAGAUACCAACAAGCCCUCUCCCGGCACCUGCAGAAAAAGUGGGGAAAAUCCCCGAAGAGGCAGAAACAAAACCUAGUGAGCUGAAGGAUGAGGCUGCUGAAGAGCCUGAGCUCACUUGUUGUGGCCUUUGUACUUAUGCUGGAAAUCCCUAAAGAUUCAUCCGGAAGGGCCGCCAGCCAGUGGAUUUCCCGGGCCCCUCAGCCCUCUGGAGUGUACGAGUUUUGGAGAAACCUCUUCCUCUGUAUAUGCUUUUGACUUUCCUGGACUGAUGUAAAAAUACUCUUUUCUUUGACCUGUUUAUUUUUAAGACACGAUGUGAUUGUGUCAGCUUAUAUUUUAUUGCUGAAGUAAAUUUUCAAAUGUUUUAUUAGUUUUUUUUGGAUCUUUGUCCGCUCAUUUUGGAGUUUUUGUAAUUUUGAUAGGUGUUCUUUUAUGCUUUGUAUUGUUUUCUUAAUGACUUUUACCUUAGUUUUUAACAAACCCAUAGUACAGUGUU